rnacentral:tRNA from 1 species
GGUUUGUAGCUCAAUGGUAGGGCACUUGCCUAGCAACCUAGGCACUGGAUUCGAUUCUCAGCACCA